GAACGCUGGCGGCGUGCUUAAACAUGCAAGUCGAACGGAAAGAGAUGAAAGAGCUUGCUCUUUUAUUAAUUUCAGUGGCAAACGGGUGAGUAACACGUAAACAACCUGCCUUAAGGAUGGGGAUAACAGACGGAAACGACUGCUAAUACCGAAUACGUUCUAAGCAUCGCAUGGUGCAUAGAAGAAAGGGUGGCCUCUACAAGAAAGCUAUCGCCUUAAGAGGGGUUUGCGACUGAUUAGGUAGUUGGUGAGGUAACGGCUCACCAAGCCGACGAUCAGUAGCCGGUCUGAGAGGAUGAACGGCCACACUGGAACUGAGACACGGUCCAGACUCCUACGGGAGGCAGCAGUGGGGAAUCUUCCGCAAUGGACGAAAGUCUUGACGGAGCACCGCCGCGUGA
rnacentral:rRNA from 1 species